rnacentral:rRNA from 1 species
CCCUUAGAUGUCCGGGGCCGCACGCGCGCUACACUGAAGGAAUCAGCGUGGCUUUCUCCCUGACCCGAAAGGGUUGGGAAACCCGUUGAAUCUCCUUCGUGAUAGGGAUUGGGGCUGAAAUUGUUCCCCAUGAACGAGGAAUUCCCAGUAAGCGCGAGUCAUAAGCUCGCGUUGAUUACGUCCCUGCCCUUUGUACACACCGCCCGUCGCUACUACCGAUUGAACGGUUUAGUGAGGGCCUCGGAUUGGUCUCGGCCCGCUCUUUACCGGGCGGCGCCGUUGGUCGAGAAGACGCUCGAACUUGAUCGUUUAGAGGAAGUAAAAGUCGUAACA